UGGGGAAUUUUGGACAAUGGGGGCAACCCUGAUCCAGCAAUGCCGCGUGCAGGAUGAAGGCCUUCGGGUUGUAAACUGCUUUUGUACGGAGCGAAAAGGUCUGCCCUAAUACGGUGGGCUCAUGACGGUACCGUAAGAAUAAGCACCGGCUAACUACGUGCCAGCAGCCGCGGUAAUACGUAGGGUGCAAGCGUUAAUCGGAAUUACUGGGCGUAAAGCGUGCGCAGGCGGUUAUGCAAGACAGAUGUGAAAUCCCCGGGCUCAACCUGGGGACUGCAUUUGUGAUUGCAUAGCUGGAGUGCGGCAGAGGGGGAUGGAAUUCCGCGUGUAGCAGUGAAAUGCGUAGAUAUGCGGAGGAACACCGAUGGCGAAGGCAAUCCCCUGGGCCUGCACUGACGCUCAUGCACGAAAGCGUGGGGAGCAAACA
rnacentral:rRNA from 1 species